rnacentral:rRNA from 1 species
UACGGGGGGUGCAAACGUUGCUCGGAAUCAUUGGGCGUAAAGCGCACGUAGGCGGCCUGUUAAGUCGGAUGUGAAAGCCCUGGGCUCAACCCAGGAAGUGCAUUCGAAACUGGCAGGCUUGAGUAUGGAAGAGGGUUGCGGAAUUCCCGGUGUAGAGGUGAAAUUCGUAGAUAUCGGGAGGAACACCAGUGGCGAAGGCGGCAACCUGGGCCAAUACUGACGCUGAGGUGCGAAAGCGUGGGGAGCAAACAGA